GCCUUCGUGGUGUAAUGGUCAGCAAGCUCGACGCGUAAUCCAGAGGUCCAUGGUUCGAUUCCCGGCGAGGGCA
rfam:Stegodyphus mimosarum contig18988, whole genome shotgun sequence.